GAGAGAAACCGUCGGUGAGUGCUGUGACGAGGGUAGCGAACCAUCCAGUAAAACGAGGGGGGGAGGCUCUUCUCCUCUACUGUUGAAUGUAUUCACUUUCUUUUGUUUUUGGUGUGAAGAGGGAGGGAGGGAAGAUCCUUGCCGUCGAUUUUCUCCCAGCCGGUUGGGGUGGUGGAAAAAC
rnacentral:ribozyme from 1 species